GGGCGCAUAGCUCAGUGGUAGAGCAUCUCCCUUUUAAGGAGAGGGUCCCUGGUUCGAGCCCAGGUGCGCUCA
rnacentral:tRNA from 1 species